rnacentral:lncRNA from 1 species
UCUUGUCAUCCACUGCUACAAAGCUUCAAAGUUCUCUUAAGCACUGCUUCUCUUGCCAUCACCCCCAUAGGCCCAAUGAGGUUUAGCAGCAGUGCGCUUCAAUGCCUUGACUCCCAAUGGGUUGUCCUUGCUCUGUUGCAUUGAGGAAUAUAAGUAAGCAAACACCAAAGAAGAUAUAAAUGGAGGAGGACCUUGGACAUCCAUUAUGGAAAAAAUAUCAAUGGGAUUCCACUUUUUCACCUAGCAUCUUAGGACAAGAUCCAUGUUUCAGAUAAAAACAUCACAAAAAGAGUCCUUUUUGGGUGCAAAAUUCAUCAUCAAGGAAAAUUAAAAGUUAAAACAGAGGAUUUAGAAAAGAAAAGAGAAAAAAAAAACCUUCUGCAUAUGAUAUUUACAAGAAACCAAAAUAGAUUUCAUUUAAAGACAAGGUGGACAGCAAAAUAGAUUUCAAGUAAUGAUCUUUUCAGUUGGUGUCCAAGUGCAAUGAGUAGUAGUGGUAUCAUAGCUCAAAAUGAAAGACAACGAAGUUUAGUUCUUACCAUCAUGCAGGUCCCUGCACGGACAUUGCAGACGGGAUAUUCCUGGGGGCAGCAGCUAUCAUGAUCUUCACAGCAGGUGGCAGCCUCAAGUGGGCAGCAUCCCCAUUGAAAGCAAUACUUAGCAUACUCAAAGAUGCAGCAGCAGGUGCUGCUCUCAGGACAUGCGUAGUAGUUAUCACAGACAGUUGGGGGCUUUAUUGGAGAGGGAGGAGACGGGCCAGGGUUGGGCGGGUUUUGGCCUUUUUUGAUAGGGUAAGAGGCUUCCAUAGCAAUUCCACACUUCCCUGUCGCACUAGUAGCAAGAUCACGCUCCAUCCUGAUAUAUCCUUCCUCUCCCCAGCUGGCACCCCAUGAGUUCUUUACAAUCCAGUAAUCCACACCAUUUUCUGUGCCAUAUCCAACAGCAGUAACACCAUGGUCCAGUGCUGUCCCACAUCUUCCAGUAAAUAUACCCUGAAGAGAUUGGGAAACAAAUAAAAAGAACCAAGUUAGAAAGGCAACUAUUUCAUGGUACAACAGGAUCACAUGGAAGAAACUGUUCUCAGUAUAACUUUUAUAUAAUUAUUCAACUUAUCCUGGGAUAGCUAUGCAGAGGGUCACCAAUUGAAGAAAGAAAUUUGGGAUCCGUACACCAUAAUCUACUGUAGUGGAACUUCCAAAAGAAAUAUCAUUACAAUAACAUAUUAUGCUUAAUUUUUUUUUGAUUGGUAACAUAUUAUGCUUAAUGAUACAGGAUCUUUGCCUCAUUUGGAGAAAAUAUAAUAUAACCAGAGAAAGAACUUUACCGAUUGGUAGAGUUGGAAUUCCCUGCCACCUGCUUCAAUGGCAACGCUCACUGGUUGAUUUGCCACUGCCUUUUCAAGUGACUUCUCAUCAUUCUCAGGAACAUCUUCAUACCCAUCGAUUGUAACAACCUUGGCAUUUUUCUGCAAAAAAAUUACUAAAGAAUCAGAAAAAAUUUCUUCCUGUUUCCUGUCUUUGGUAUUGUAUAAAUUUUCAAGAAUGAAUACCGACCCUAUACUGGUCACAUCUGCCAUCGGAAGCUUUGUAGGGGUAAUCUUCUUCAGAGUCAAUGCCUCCGUUGUUGAUAAUGAACUCAAAGGCAUAGUCCAUAAGUCCCCCAUUGCAUCCUUCAUUAUAUGAUGUAUCACAGUCCACCAGCUCCUGCUCUGAUAGUGAUAUCAGACCACCAGUCACAAUCUUGUUAAUCCCUUCCACAGCAGCAAUUGUAGAGAAUGCCCAACAGCUCCCUUCAUUUCAUAACAAUAAUUAUUAGAUUAAUACAUCAUAACCACAUAGAAAGUACAACAAAUGCUUAAGGCUCCAGGUUUCCCAAAAGAAACAUUUGAGCUGUUGAAGCCCUUUUUUUUUUGGUCAAGCAGCAAAUGAUCUAAUCACUUUAGUUUUGAACUUUGAGAAGAAAUAGGCUUCUACAACAUUCCAGAAUAAAGUACGAAAACAAAACAAUUAACCGCAUUAAAUUACAGUAACAAGGGUUUCAUCAAAUAGUUGGCAUCAAUUUCAUAUCCUUACAAAGUUACUCCUAGAAGCUGAUACUUGCUAGAAGGAUCCGGUCAAACAAUUAUUCUAGUUUUAUUCAAGGAUUCCAACACACAUCAGCCAUGACAUCAUAUGACCAGAGCAAAUAUGGUGAUACAUUAUAUUUAAAGGGUAAAUCCAUAAAAUAUAUUUAAUUGAAGGAAAAAAUCAAAUUAGAUUUAAAGGGCAAAUCUCUAAAAUAUAUUUAAUUGAAAGGAUAGCGAAAUCCGGGGAAGGAGCUAAUCCCAGCCAAACCAUGGUUGCGAAAGCUGCCAGGUUUUAUGGGUCCAUCAAUAUUGACUGGUGGGGUCCUCCCACCGAAAUGAAUAUUCUUAUAGAUAGAUAUGUUCGACGAAUCUGUUCAAAGAAAAGGGCUAUGUGAAACACACAUCAUCCGCAUUAAUGGAGAAACGGGUGAGGGAAGAAUCCUCUGUCCCUGACACCGCACAAGAUUCUUCUCAAUCCCUGAAACCAAGGGAAAUAAUAUUUUUCUAAAACAGGGGUCUGCUCUUCUAUAAUCUAUGCCAUUGGUUCUCCAUGAUUGAUGAUCUCCUGGCUUACAACUUCUAAUCCUUGGCAUCUGAUAAGGGCCCUUCAACAUCGGAGAUUCUAAACUUACGAUUAUCGUCAGAGAAAUUCGCAAUAAAAGGGUAUGGUGUCACAGAUAUUAGUAAAGCUGUGACUGAUCUGAUGGUAUUAUGGUCGAGUAAUAUAUAAUCCAAUUUCCUUCAUCUCCAAGAAAAAGAUAAUGAAAAGGGAACAACAGUAGUAUUUGUAAUCAAAGAAAAAAAGGCAAUAAUAAUUGAAUCAAAUCCAACAAAAAUACAUGCAAAUAAAUAAAGUUCAGAAACGAAUAAGGACUAUAACUUACCGCAACUUCCUUGGUCUUUGACUUCAACGACAGCACCUUUCUUUCUCCAAUCAACGGACUCCGGCAAGGAAUCGCCGACACGAAAAGCGUAACGAUCGCUAAUCUUGUUGGAAGACCUCCGCUUAGCAGCAGUCCUUGUACCCAAAUACAUAGACCGGUACUCCUCAUUUGUCAAGUCAGCAAACCGGUUCAAACCAACCUUAUAGGUCCGGUUCUCGGCGUUGUGUUCAUCGAUGAACCUGAGGUUGUCCUUAAAGAUCUGAAACCUUCUUUCCUUCUCCCCCAAAGCGUUGUACGAUUUGCCGUGCUUUGCAAGCCAGGCCUCGUACACAGCCAUCACAUCCUCAUCCGUCCUCCAGCUCGAUUUGUCUCCAUGGGUCUCGUCGUAGCCGAUGAUCGACAUGUCCAGCGCCGACGCCAACCCCAACAGC